rnacentral:miRNA from 1 species
AAGUGUUUGGGGGAACUC